rnacentral:ncRNA from 1 species
ACAAAAAAAGUGACAAGAUAAGUAAAUAGAUAAAGUUGAAUCAGAGAACUCUGGUAGCUGAGAAAGAGUCUACUGAAUCUAUUGAAGAUGGUCUUGAUUUUUUCAAGUGUUGAUGAGGUUAAAGCAAAUCAACAAUGGUUAACGCCCAUUAUUCCGUUGAGUAUAGAUUGCACUAUGCUCUUUGAGGUUGUUAUUGAAAAAUAAUAACGAAUAAAGGUGGUACCACGAAAAAAGCUUUUCGUCCUUCAG